AUGAACGCUGACAGAAUGCUUAACCCAUGCACGUCGAUGGGGAAGUGGUGCUUGCACCCUGGUAACCAUGGCGGACGGGUGAGUAACGCGUAAGGAACUUACCUGCGGGACCGGGAUAACAGCAGGAAACUGCUGACAAGACCGGAUAAGGUCAUUAAGCUGCAUAGCUUAGUGAUGAAAGGAGACGCCUGCGGAGAGCCUUGCGUCCUAUUAGCUAGUUGGAGGGGUAACGGCCCACCAAGGCGAAGAUAGGUAGCCGGCCUGAGAGGGUGGACGGCCACAAGGGGACUGAGAUACGGCCCUUACUCCUACGGGAGGCAGCAGUGGGGAAUAUUGGACAAUGGGGGCAACCCUGAUCCAGCAAUUCUGUGUGCACGAAGACGGUUUUCGGAUUGUAAAGUGCUUUCAGCAGGGAAGAAGGAAGUGACGGUACCUGCAGAAGAAGCGACGGCUAAAUACGUG
rnacentral:rRNA from 1 species